CAGUAGCCGCGGGAAUACGUAGGGUGCAAGCGUUAAUCGGAAUUACUGGGCGUAAAGCGUGCGCAGGCGGUUAUAUAAGACAGAUGUGAAAUCCCCGGGCUCAACCUGGGAACUGCAUUUAUGACUGUAUAGCUAGAGUACGGCAGAGGGGGAUGGAAUUCCGCGUGUAGCAGUGAAAUGCGUAGAUAUGCGGAGGAACACCGAUGGCGAAGGCAAUCCCCUGGGCCUGUACUGACGCUCAUGCACGAAAGCGUGGGGAGCAAACAGGAUUAGAUACCCCCGUAGUCCCUGUCUCUUAUAC
rnacentral:rRNA from 1 species